ACGCUCGACACCUACGGAAGGCAGCAGUCGGGAAUAUUGCGCAAUGGAGGAAACUCUGACGCAGUGACGCCGCGUGCAGGAAGAAGGUUUUCGGAUUGUAAACUGCUUUAGACAGGGAAGAGGAAGGACAGUACCUGUAGAAUAAGCUCCGGCUAACUACGUGCCAGCAGCCGCGGUAAUCUGAGCGGGCUGGCAAGGC
rnacentral:rRNA from 1 species